rnacentral:rRNA from 1 species
AUACGGAGGGUGCAAGCGUUAAUCGGAAUUACUGGGCGUAAAGCGCGCGUAGGCGGCUUGGUCAGUCGGAUGUGAAAGCCCCGGGCUUAACCUGGGAAUUGCAUUCGAUACUGCCAGGCUAGAAUGUAGUAGAGGGUAGUGGAAUUUCGGGUGUAGCGGUGAAAUGCGUAGAUAUCCGGAGGAACAUCAGUGGCGAAGGCGACUUGCUGGACUAAUACUGACGCUAAGGAGCGAAAGCGUGGGGAGCAAACGGGAUUAGAAACCCUAGUAGUCC